CACGUAGGGUGCAGCGUUGUCCGGAAUUAUUGGGCGUAAAGAGCUCGUAGGCGGUUUGUCGCGUCUGCUGUGAAAACUGGAGGCUCAACCUCCAGCCUGCAGUGGGUACGGGCAAACUAGAGUGCGGUAGGGGAGAUUGGAAUUCCUGGUGUAGCGGUGGAAUGCGCAGAUAUCAGGAGGAACACCGAUGGCGAAGGCAGAUCUCUGGGCCGUAACUGACGCUGAGGAGCGAAAGCAUGGGGAGCGAACAGG
rnacentral:rRNA from 1 species